UGGCCCUGACAUAUUAUACAAUAUAUUAUUAAGCCCCGGAUGCCCAUCUAGUGAAGUAACUCAAAGCUGACAGAUUUAAGAAAAACAAUUCCUAUUUUCCAUUGGCUUAUCAAACUAAUAUUAGGAGACAAUUUUAUCUACAGAGAGAGAGAGAGAUAAUAGGAGAAAGAAAAUAGUGACAGUGCCUGCCUCAUCCUUCAGUUGUUUA
rnacentral:misc_RNA from 1 species